rnacentral:rRNA from 1 species
AGAGUUUGAUCAUGGCUCAGGACGAACGCUGGCGGCGUGCUUAACACAUGCAAGUCGAACGGAAAGGCCCUUCGGGGUACUCGAGUGGCGAACGGGUGAGUAACACGUGGGUGAUCUGCCCUGCACUCUGGGAUAAGCCUGGGAAACUGGGUCUAAUACCGGAUAUGAUCAUGCGCCUCAUGGUGUGUGGUGGAAAGCUUUUGCGGUGUGGGAUGGGCCCGCGGCCUAUCAGCUUGUUGGUGGGGUAAUGGCCUACCAAGGCGACGACGGGUAGCCGGCCUGAGAGGGUGACCGGCCACACUGGGACUGAGAUACGGCCCAGACUCCUACGGGAGGCAGCAGGUGGGGAAUAUGGCACAAUGGGCGCAAGCCUGAUGCAGCGACGCCGCGUGGGGAUGACGGCCUUCGGGUUGUAAACCUCUUUCAGUACCGACGAAGCGUAAGUGACGGUAGGUACAGAAGAAGCACCGGCCAACUACGUG